rnacentral:lncRNA from 1 species
CCAGCCAGUGCCUUUGUGGCCUCUUGGGCUGGGUUGCAAUCUCUUGCCAACCGGCUUGCCGGUUGUCAGGAGGCCUCUGGGGAGGACGCUGUAGGAGCCUCAAAUGCCACCUACUCCCCGGCCUCUCUCCCAGUUGAUGUUUCUAUUUUGGGCACCACAUUAUUUCCUGCUGUGAUUUUUUUUUUUCAGGCUUCUAAUUCGGGCUCUGAGGAAUGGGAGUCGAACGUCUCCAUGUCUGAAGUCUGUUUAACUCUGUUUGGACAAUGACCCUUGAGAGAUGUGAUGAAGGCUACACAGAAUCCCAGAAACUGUCCACAACAAACUCACAACAGACAAAAUGGUAAAGCUCCCGGGAGCCUCACCCAUCCCAGUCCAUGGGGGUGACUUCAGCCGAGACUCCUAGCAGUGACGAUAUGGAGCCUGUUGUGCUUGUAGACAGGAGUCUAGCGUAACUGUCCUCUGAGAGCUACCGCAGCUGACUGAAACAGAUGCCGAGACCCAGAGCCAAACAUUAGAUGGAGCUUGGGGACUCUGUGGAAGGAUUACAGGCCCUGAAGGAAAUAGGAACUCUACAAGAAGACCAACAGUCAACUAACCUGGACCACUAGGGGCUCCCAGAGACUGAACCAUCAACCAAAGA